AUUGAACGCUGGCGGCAUGCCUUACACAUGCAAGUCGAACGGCAGCACGGGAGCAAUCCUGGUGGCGAGUGGCGAACGGGUGAGUAAUAUAUCGGAACGUGCCCGGUCGUGGGGAUAACGUAGCGAAAGCUACGCUAAUACCGCAUACGAUCUACGGAUGAAAGCGGGGGGAUCGCAAGACCUCGCGCGAUUGGAGCGGCCGAUAUCAGAUUAGGUAGUUGGUGAGGUAAAGGCUCACCAAGCCGACGAUCUGUAGCUGGUCUGAGAGGACGACCAGCCACACUGGGACUGAGACACGGCCCAGACUCCUACGGGAGGCAGCAGUGGGGAAUUUUGGACAAUGGGCGCAAGCCUGAUCCAGCAAUGCCGCGUGCAGGAUGAAGGCCUCGGUUGUU
rnacentral:rRNA from 1 species